rnacentral:rRNA from 1 species
GAUGAACGCUGGCGGCGUGCCUAAUACAUGCAAGUCGAGCGAACAGAUAAGGAGCUUGCUCCUUUGACGUUAGCGGCGGACGGGUGAGUAACACGUGGGUCACCUACCUAUAAGACUGGGAUAACUUCGGGAAACCGGAGCUAAUACCGGAUCAUAUUUCGAACCGCAUGGUUCGAUAGUGCAAGAUGGUUUUGCUAUCACUUUUAGAUGGACCCGCGCCGUAUUAGCUAGUUGGUAAGGUAACGGCUUACCAAGGCGACGAUACGUAGCCGACCUGAGAGGGUGAUCGGCCACACUGGAACUGAGACACGGUCCAGACUCCUACGGGAGGCAGCAGUAGGGAAUCUUCCGCAAUGGGCGAAAGCCUGACGGAGCAACGCCGCGUGAGUGAUGAAGGUCUUCGGAUCGUAAAACUCUGUUAUUAGGGAAGAACAUACGUGUAAGUAACUGUGCACGUCUUGACGGUACCUAAUCAGAAAGCCACGGCUAACUACGUG